UACGAAGGGAGCUAGCGUUGUUCGGAAUCACUGGGCGUAGAGCGCACGUAGGCGGAUGUGUCAGUCAGGGGUGAAAUCCCGGAGCUCAACUUCGGAACUGCCUUUGAUACAGCACGUCUUGAGUCCGAUAGAGGUGGGUGGAAUUCCUAGUGUAGAGGUGAAAUUCGUAGAUAUUAGGAAGAACACCGGUGGCGAAGGCGGCCCACUGGAUCGGUACUGACGCUGAGGUGCGAAAGCGUGGGGAGCAAACAGG
rnacentral:rRNA from 1 species